CAGAGAACUGUUUCUCGCACCAUCGCGAACUUACCCCCCCAAAACACGUUCCUUCGGCGGAGCGGCCCCCGUGGCUGCGCCGCCGGAGGGCUCAACCAAACACUGUAUUUUAUGGGUUCCUUCUGAGUAUGAUUUUUUGCAAAUCAGUCA
rnacentral:misc_RNA from 1 species